GUUGGGUAUAGUGGUGUAUACCUGUAAGUUAAACUUCUGAACAACUGAAUGUGGGAUGGUAUGAGUUAUAAGAAUGUGAUAUAGGACUUUCUUAUGUAGAGAGUCGGUCUUAUUCAAGUACCGAGUUAACAUUCGUUAAGGGAUGUAGGUCCUUUGACAAGGUUAUUAACGAAGUGGGCAACGCGUGAGGCUGGUAACAGAGCAGCGAAAACCACUCGCUUGGUACGGUGAUUGAGAUAGCUGGCUUGAGUAAGAACCUAUAUCUGCUUAUAAUAAUAGUUACUAGACGAAAUUCUUU
rfam:Neocallimastix californiae strain G1 LY90scaffold_290, whole genome shotgun sequence.